AGCAGAAGAGGGCAGUGGGUUUGGGAACUGCAGGUGGGAAGGGGGGGGUGCAGCUGUGGUCCUAGGGGCCAGGGGGAUAGUGCGAACGGAGCCCUAUGGGACACUGACCACAAGGGGUAGGGGAGGGCCCCCAAGGAGCGAGACGAGGGAGAGCCAGGAGGAGAGGGCAGCCAAGAGCUCCAGGAGCAGGGAUCUGCUCCUACAGGUGCAUUGACCCUCAUCCUAAAGGG